GGUAUGUAAAGCUCUAUCAGCAGGGAAGAUAAUGACAGUACCUGACUAAGAAGCACCGGCUAAAUACGUGCCAGCAGCCGCGGUAAUACGUAUGGUGCAAGCGUUAUCCGGAUUUACUGGGUGUAAAGGGAGCGCAGGCGGUGCGGCAAGUCUGAUGUGAAAGCCCGGGGCUCAACCCCAGUACUGCAUUGGAAACUGUCGUACUAGAGUGUCGGAGGGGUAAGCGGAAUUCCUAGUGUAGCGGUGAAAUGCGUAGAUAUUAGGAGGAACACCAGUGGCGAAGGCGGCUUACUGGACGAUAACUGACGCUGAGGCUCGAAAGCGUGGGGAGCAAACAGGAUUAGAUACCCUGGUAGUCCACGCCGUAAA
rnacentral:rRNA from 1 species